rnacentral:rRNA from 1 species
AUUGAACGCUGGCGGCAGGCCUAACACAUGCAAGUCGAGCGGAUGAAGGGAGCUUGCUCCUGGAUUCAGCGGCGGACGGGUGAGUAAUGCCUAGGAAUCUGCCUGGUAGUGGGGGAUAACGUCCGGAAACGGGCGCUAAUACCGCAUACGUCCUGAGGGAGAAAGUGGGGGAUCUUCGGACCUCACGCUAUCAUAUGAGCCUAGGUCGGAUUAGCUAGUUGGUGGGGUAAAGGCCUACCAAGGCGGCGAUCCGUAACUGGUCUGAGAGGAUGAUCAGUCACACUGGAACUGAGACACGGUCCAGGCUACUACGGGAGGCAGCAGUCGGGAAUAUUGGACAAAGGGCGAAAGCCUGAUCCAGUCAUGCCGCGUGUGUGAAGAAGGUCUUCGGAUUGUAAAGCCCUUUAAGUUGGGAGGAAGGGCAGUAAGUUAAUACCUUGCUGUUUUGACGUUACCAACAGAAUAAGCACCGGCUAACUUCGUG